rnacentral:piRNA from 1 species
UGACCCGUUGGACACGAGACGCUUGC